rnacentral:rRNA from 1 species
AGGACGAACGCUGGCGGCGUGCAUAACACAUUCAAGUCGAACGGAGUGUAGCAAUACACUUAGUGGCGGACGGGUGAGUAACGCGUGAGCAAUCUACCCUUGGGUACGGAAUAACAACCGGAAACAGUUGCUAAUACCGUAUAAAACAGCAGUAUCGCAUGGUACAACUGUCAAAGAGAAAUUGCCAAAGGAUGAGCUUGCGUCCGAUUAGAUAGUUGGCGGGGUAACGGCCCACCAAGUCGACGAUCAGUAGCCGGACUGAGAGGUUGAACGGCCACAUUGGAACUGAGAUACGGUCCAGACUCCUACGGGAGGCAGCAGUGGGGAAUAUUGGGCAAUGGGGGAAACCCUGACCCAGCAACGCCGCGUGAAGGAAGAAGGCCUUCGGGUUGUAAACUUCUUUUAGCAGGGACGAAGGACGUGACGGUACCUGCAGAAAAAGCAACGGCUAACUACGUG